rnacentral:rRNA from 1 species
CCUACGGGUGGCAGCAGUGGGGAAUAUUGGACAAUGGGCGAAAGCCUGAUCCAGCCAUGCCGCGUGUGUGAAGAAGGCCUUCGGGUUGUAAAGCACUUUCAGUGGGGAAGAAAGCCUUGGGGCUAAUACCCUCGAGGAAGGACAUCACCCACAGAAGAAGCACCGGCUAACUCCGUGCCAGCAGCCGCGGUAAUACGGAGGGUGCGAGCGUUAAUCGGAAUUACUGGGCGUAAAGCGCGCGUAGGCGGUCUGAUAAGCCGGUUGUGAAAGCCCCGGGCUCAACCUGGGAACGGCAUCCGGAACUGUCAGGAUAGAGUGCAGGAGAGGAAGGUAGAAUUCCCGGUGUAGCGGUGAAAUGCGUAGAGAUCGGGAGGAAUACCAGUGGCGAAGGCGGCCUUCUGGACUGACACUGACGCUGAGGUGCGAAAGCGUGGGUAGCAAACAGGAUUAGAUACCCGGGUAGUC